GGUGUUAUGGCCGAGUGGUCUAAGGCGCUAGCUUCAGGUUCGCAAGGAUCCGCUAGUCGGAAACGGCGUGGGUUCGAAUCCCACUGACAUCA
rfam:Rhodotorula sp. JG-1b unplaced genomic scaffold RHOSPscaffold_115, whole genome shotgun sequence.